rnacentral:rRNA from 1 species
UACGGAGGGUGCAAGCGUUAUCCGGAUUCACUGGGUUUAAAGGGUGCGUAGGUGGGUCUGUAAGUCAGUGGUGAAAUCUCCGAGCUUAACUUGGAAACUGCCAUUGAUACUAUAGCUCUUGAAUAUUGUGGAGGUCAGCGGAAUAUGUCAUGUAGCGGUGAAAUGCUUAGAUAUGACAUAGAACACCAAUUGCGAAGGCAGCUUACUACGGAUCGAUUGACACUGAGGCACGAAAAGCGUGGGGAUCAAACAGG